rnacentral:rRNA from 1 species
UACGGAGGGGGCUAGCGUUGUUCGGAAUUACUGGGCGUAAAGCGCACGUAGGCGGCUUUGUAAGUUAGAGGUUAAAGCCCGGGGCUCAACUCCGGAAUUGCCUUUAAGACUGCAUCGCUAGAAUUGUGGAGAGGUAAGUGGAAUUCCGAGUGUAGAGGUGAAAUUCGUAGAUAUUCGGAAGAACACCAGUGGCGAAGGCGACUUACUGGACACAUAUUGACGCUGAGGUGCGAAAGCGUGGGGAGCGAACAGG